UGUUUUGGACGUAAUAUUAAACUAUGUUUUCAUAGUAUUUUACCCAUGCUGCUAUUUAUCAAGAGUUGGUAAGAAAUAAUGAAAUUCAAUUUACAAAUAUAUAACAAUUCGCCAAACAACUAGUUUUCAUUUUGCAGAUUACACCGAGAAAUUUCCUGGACCAAAAGUGAUCCAAAAUUUAAUGAAGACAAAUCAAUUCUUCUGUUAUUGAAAAUUCGAGCGUUGAGGAGCAGCUGCUGCAUGUGCCGCCAUGUUCGAUCAGAGAUAGAAGAAAGCAAAUACGGGCAAAAAAUUCACUAUCGGACUCCACUGCAUCCAAAAUUGUUGUUUAUUAAUGGACUAAAACCGCAGUAAAUUAUCAUAGAAAUUAUUCUUUAAUAAAUAAAUACGAUUUAUGUAAUUG